GGGUUGUGAGGUUAAGCGACUAAGCGUACACGGUGGAUGCCCUGGCAGUCAGAGGCGAUGAAGGACGUGCUAAUCUGCGAUAAGCGUCGGUAAGGUGAUAUGAACCGUUAUAACCGGCGAUUUCCGAAUGGGGAAACCCAGUGUGUUUCGACACACUAUCAUUAACUGAAUCCAUAGGUUAAUGAGGCGAACCGGGGGAACUGAAACAUCUAAGUACCCCGAGGAAAAGAAAUCAACCGAGAUUCCCCCAGUAGCGGCGAGCGAACGGGGAGCAGCCCAGAGCCUGAAUCAGUGUGUGUGUUAGUGGAAGCGUCUGGAAAGGCGCGCGAUACAGGGUGACAGCCCCGUACACAAAAAUGCACAUGCUGUGAGCUCGAUGAGUAGGGCGGGACACGUGGUAUCCUGUCUGAA
rnacentral:rRNA from 1 species